rnacentral:rRNA from 1 species
UGGGGAAUCUUGCGCAAUGCGCGAAAGCGUGACGCAGCAACGCCGCGUGGGGGAAGAAGGCUUUCGGGUUGUAAACCCCUUUCAGUUGGGACGAAGCUUCGCCGAUGAAUAGUCGGCCGGAGUGACGGUACCUUCACAAGAAGCACCGGCUAACUACGUGCCAGCAGCCGCGGUAAUACGUAGGGUGCAAGCGUUGUCCGGAAUUAUUGGGCGUAAAGAGCGUGUAGGCGGCUCGAUUAGUCCGCUGUGAAAGUCCAGGGCUCAACCCUGGAAUGCCGGUGGAUACUGUCGAGCUAGAGUCCGGAAGGGGCGAGUGGAAUUCCUGGUGUAGCGGUGAAAUGCGCAGAUAUCAGGAGGAACACCUAUGGCGAAGGCAGCUCGCUGGGACGUGACUGACGCUGAGACGCGAAAGCGUGGGGAGCAAAC